GAUGAACGCUGGCGGCGUGCCUAAUACAUGCAAGUCGAGCGAACGGACGAGAAGCUUGCUUCUCUGAUGUUAGCGGCGGACGGGUGAGUAACACGUGGAUAACCUACCUAUAAGACUGGGAUAACUUCGGGAAACCGGAGCUAAUACCGGAUAAUAUUUUGAACCGCAUGGUUCAAAAGUGAAAGACGGUCUUGCUGUCACUUAUAGAUGGAUCCGCGCUGCAUUAGCUAGUUGGUAAGGUAACGGCUUACCAAGGCAACGAUGCAUAGCCGACCUGAGAGGGUGAUCGGCCACACUGGAACUGAGACACGGUCCAGACUCCUACGGGAGGCAGCAGUAGGGAAUCUUCCGCAAUGGGCGAAAGCCUGACGGAGCAACGCCGCGUGAGUGAUGAAGGUCUUCGGAUCGUAAAACUCUGUUAUUAGGGAAGAACAUAUGUGUAAGUAACUGUGCACAUCUUGACGGUACCUAAUCAUAAAGCCCCGGCUAACUACGUGCCAGCAGCCGCGGUAAUACGUAGGUGGCAAGCGUUAUCCCGGAAUUAUUGGGCGUAAAGCGCGCGUAGGCGGUUUUUUAAGUCUGAUGUGAAAGCCCACGGCUCAACCGUGGAGGGUCAUUGGAAACUGGAAAACUUGAGUGCAGAAGAGGAAAGUGGAAUUCCAUGUGUAGCGGUGAAAUGCGCAGAGAUAUGGAGGAACACCAGUGGCGAAGGCGACUUUCUGGUCUGUAACUGACGCUGAUGUGCGAAAGCGUGGGGAUCAAACAGGAUUAGAUACCCUGGUAGUCCACGCCGUAAACGAUGAGUGCUAAGUGUUAGGGGGUUUCCGCCCCUUAGUGCUGCAGCUAACGCAUUAAGCACUCCGCCUGGGGAGUACGACCGCAAGGUUGAAACUCAAAGGAAUUGACGGGGACCCGCACAAGCGGUGGAGCAUGUGGUUUAAUUCGAAGCAACGCGAAGAACCUUACCAAAUCUUGACAUCCUUUGACAACUCUAGAGAUAGAGCCUUCCCCUUCGGGGGGGCAAAGUGACAGGUGGUGCAUGGUUGUCGUCAGCUCGUGUCGUGAGAUGUUGGGUUAAGUCCCGCAACGAGCGCAACCCUUAAGCUUAGUUGCCAUCAUUAAGUUGGGCACUCUAAGUUGACUGCCGGUGACAAACCGGAGGAAGGUGGGGAUGACGUCAAAUCAUCAUGCCCCUUAUGAUUUGGGCUACACACGUGCUACAAUGGACAAUACAAAGGGCAGCGAAACCGCGAGGUCAAGCAAAUCCCAUAAAGUUGUUCUCAGUUCGGAUUGUAGUCUGCAACUCGACUACAUGAAGCUGGAAUCGCUAGUAAUCGUAGAUCAGCAUGCUACGGUGAAUACGUUCCCGGGUCU
rnacentral:rRNA from 1 species